rnacentral:rRNA from 1 species
UACGAAGGGGACUAGCGUUGUUCGGAAUUACUGGGCGUAAAGCGCACGUAGGCGGAUUUGUAAGUCAGGGGUGAAAUCCCGGGGCUCAACCUCGGAACUGCCUUUGAUACUGCAAAUCUCGAGUCCGGAAGAGGUGAGUGGAAUUCCUAGUGUAGAGGUGAAAUUCGUAGAUAUUAGGAAGAACACCAGUGGCGAAGGCGGCUCACUGGCCCGGUACUGACGCUGAGGCGCGAAAGCGUGGGGAGCAAACAGG